rnacentral:rRNA from 1 species
GGGGAUAACAUUUGGAAACAAAUGCUAAUACCGUAUAAUAAUUAAAACCGCAUGGUUUUAGUUAAAAAGAUGGUCUUGCUAUCACUAAGAGAUGGUCCCGCGGUGUAUUAGUUAGUUGGUGAGGGUAAUGGCUCACCAAGACAAUGAUACAUAGCCGAGUUGAGAGACUGACCGGCCACAAUGGGACUGAGACACGGCCCAUACUCCUACGGGAGGCAGCAGUAGGGAAUCUUCCACAAUGGACGAAAGUCUGAUGGAGCAACGCCGCGUGUGUGAUGAAGGGUUUCGGCUCGUAAAACACUGUUGUAAGAGAAGAAUGACAUUGAGAGUAACUGUUCAAUGUGUGACGGUAUCUUACCAGAAAGGAACGGCUAAAUACGUG